rnacentral:rRNA from 1 species
GACGAACGCUGGCGGCGUGCCUAAUACAUGCAAGUUGAGCGCUGAAGGUUGGUACUUGUACCGACUGGAUGAGCAGCGAACGGGUGAGUAACGCGUGGGGAAUCUGCCUUUGAGCGGGGGACAAUAUUUGGAAACGAAUGCUAAUACCGCAUAAAAACUUUAAACACAAGUUUUAAGUUUGAAAGAUGCAAUUGCAUCACUCAAAGAUGAUCCCGCGUUGUAUUAGCUAGUUGGUGAGGUAAAGGCUCACCAAGGCGAUGAUACAUAGCCGACCUGAGAGGGUGAUCGGCCACAUUGGGACUGAGACACGGCCCAAACUCCUACGGGAGGCAGCAGUAGGGAAUCUUCGGCAAUGGACGAAAGUCUGACCGAGCAACGCCGCGUGAGUGAAGAAGGUUUUCGGAUCGUAAAACUCGGUUGGUAGAGAAGAACGUUGGUGAGAGUGGAAAGCUCAUCAAGUGACGGUAACUACCCAGAAAGGGACGGCUAACUACGUG